ACUCCCUCCCUUGCACUGAGGGCACAUGCAUCUUCAGUGGGACUCGAAAUUCCUGGAGAACUGCUUUUGUGAAAAGCUGGCAAUAAUGUCUUUAAAAUUUCUUAGUUUUCCUUUUUGCUGUGUUUCAGAAAGACAUC
rnacentral:other from 1 species